CCUAGUGCUUUUUUUUUUUUUUUUAAGAAAUUAAAUGGAUGAUCGUAACAUAUUGCCAAUCCUACAAAGUUAAACCAUACCAUCAUUGGUUUUAACUAAACCGAUUCUAACCAUUUAAACCAAAUAAUUGCAUAACAAAUUAAACGUUAUUGCAAAUAUAUAUAAUACCUUGCAUUCUAAUAUAAAAUAUUAAAAUAAUCGAAAACAACUUAAAAUUUAGAUUUGAUUUGGUUUAUUCUUAACAAUUUUAACUCUAAAAGAUUUUCAGGUAAUAUCAAGUUUUCAUUAAUUAAAACUAUAUACCCUACUCUUAAUAAACAAAACAAAUAAACCGCAAAUACAUGAAAAAUCUAUAUUUCAACACCAAAUAAAGAGAAAUGGCCUUAGAUAACCAUACAUCAACUUUUUCUUCUCAUUUUAGAUCUCAAGGCCCAAAAUCACAAAAAUAUUUUAUUUAAUAUGGAUAUUUACCAUUUUACCCUUUUCUUUUUUAAUUACAUAAUACAUUUUUUUUUUGAAACUUACAAACACGACGGCUCCGCCGUUUCUCAUCUCUGCCAUCAUCAUCUUCGGCAUUGCUCAUCUUCAGCGUCGCUAAUCUCCGUUGUCAUUAUCUCUAUUGUCAUUAUCUGCGUACUUUCCCUCAGCCCCAAUCGUUGCGCCGUUAUAGGUUUUUACGUUGUUUUUAUCAAAGGUAUUUCGUAGGCACGACAAAACUGAUAUCGCCAUCUACGAUGAUGUCGUCUCCAAGGUCUUUUCAUUUAUUUGCUGCUGCUAAAUCUAAAUAUGUGAUUUCUCUAUUCUCAAAUCACUCAUAUGUAGGGUUUCUUCUCACUAAUAUUGUAAUCUGUCUAAAUUGAUUGUGGAACAUCAUCAUAUUGUUUCUUGCAUUGUAUUGAAUCUCAAUGGUCAAAACUCAGAAAUUCUGGAUCAUGGAUUCAUUUAUGAUGUUUAAUGAGGAGAAUUGUGUAUUACUUCAUCUUGACACUGUCAUUGCAUCUCUGUUUUUUCUGGAAUAAUUAAAUCAAUCUAUGAUUCAGUCAUUGUUAGUUUUUUUUUAUGGCUACUUCAUCUUGAGAUUAUAUUGGAUCCUCAAUCACAUAUAAGGAUUGGUGCCUAAGCUGUGUGAAAUUGGUUGCGGGCUUGAUGCUUAAAAUGCAAUCGUCUAAUUCAGUUUAAGUGUUUAUGGUUCACACUGUAGGACUCUUAAAAUAUUUAAAAUGUUUUUGCAUUUUAUUUGUCGAUAGAAGAUUUUAACAACAUGUAUUGUUUGCUUGGUUUUUUACAAUUUUUCAAUCACGCCAUGGGAAAGCUUACCUCUUUAGGUGUAAAUCAAUCUACUUUCAAGUUUUAUUUGGGCUUUAGUCAUCCUCCUCAUUGAACAUUGCCUUAUUUUGUGGUUAAAGCUCGAUAGGACUAGUUAUUUGCUAGUAGUCCUUUGGGUUUUGUGUGGACAGAGCCAAUGUGUAUGCUGAGAAGAAAGAAGAUAGAAUGAUGAUGACUGGACUGCACACUGUUGCCGAUAUUUACUUCGUUAAAUGCGGCUCUUAUGUUGGAUGGAGAUAUAAGUUUGAUUUUGAGAAGAACCAACAGUACAAGGAAGGAAAAUCGAUUCAUGAAAGGUAAGUAAAUGACUAAUCCCAAUCCCUGGUUUUAUCUUGUUUUGUUUUGACAAAGUGUUUUCUGAGUUGAGAUGUGAAUGUGUUUCAUAUUCUUGACAGGUACAAGAUUUGAUGCCCAAAUGGGAACAACUACUGGAUAGCUAAUGACAUUUUUUUAUAGUCAAUGACAUGUGUUUGUUUAUAGCUAAUUACAUUUGUUCGUUUGUAGAUCAAUGUUCUCUACUUGUAGAAAAUGAACUCUAUUUAGUGA